AGAGUGUGACCUGCACUAUGACGGAGGGAAGGAGGCACCUGGGCUGGGAGAAGCCGGAGCAGGUGGCAUCUGAUCGGCUUCAAGGAGAAGGAAGGGCCACAUGGGAGGACCCAGGAAGCCUCUCAGAGAAGCCUCAGCUGAAGAAAUAAAAGUUCUCAAAGGCUUCCUUCCGACCUGUUGAGAGGUAAGGCUGCCACUGUCUGCCAGGUGGUUGUGGCUGUCUCCUCCCUACUGCCCGACUUUCCCAGUUUCAUCUUCAUCUCCAUGGGGCUGUGAUACUCAGAAAAGAGGACGGCUUCUCUUGUAGCCUUCCACGGAAGAAGUGCCUGCAUGAGGAGGGGAAGGAGCAGGAGGAAACUUUAGUGAGCACCUACUAUGUGCCAGUUCUCACAGAGAGCGCUCUGCAUAUUAUCUGUUUUUUUGUGUGGGGAUGGGGGUAAGGAGGCUGAGAGAUAAAGUAAUAUGUACGAGAGGCAUGUGGUUGAUGAUGAUUAUGCUAAUUAAUAAA